UUGUAAAGCACUUUCAAUAGGGAGGAAUACCUGGAGGAUAAUACCCUUCAGACUGACAUUACCUAUAGAAGAAGCACCGGCUAACUCCGUGC
rnacentral:rRNA from 1 species